CAUGUAUUUUUGUGAUAAAUCCAUAUUAUACUGAGUGUAGUUCCCACAUUAAUCAAUACAAAGUACCUGCAUCUUUCAGGUUUUUAAAUCAAGGCUGAAUACUUUCUUCUUUGCCGCUGCCUUUUAUUAAAUCAAAUUUGAGACUUUUAAUUUGAUUUCUUUCAGCGCGACCGCAAUGCAUGAUGGGAUAUAAUGCUUUGGCUAGUGGCCAUCGUUGUAUACUACUUUUCGUGAUGCAUUGUGGGAUACGUUGAAUGCACUAUCUAGGGUGUAAAUAAUUCUCACUAAGGUUUCGGACAGCACUACAAAAUGGUGUCCCCACUAUGUAGUGCCCUAUUAUAGGGAGUAGGGAGCGAUUUCGGACACAGGCCAAGUUGUCCCAAGGUGUUGGCACUGACUUAGAGACACUGAAUCACAUGUUUAUAGGACUGUAUUAUUCAUCAUUCAAUUAUCUUCUGCCAAUAUAACUGGAAUUACCAGAAAAUUACGUCUGUAUGAAAUAUUACGUGACGGGAGCAUGCGCGAUGUGUUAAGCGGUAAACCGGAUGUUUUGAUUACCUCGGAACGAGGUAUUCUGCAACACCGGAAAGGGGAGAAGGCAGAAUAAUUCCCUUUUUGCAAGUUUUUUUUUUCCAAAAUGCACUUUGUCAUUUCGGCGGUGUUAACAGCGAAUUACCACAUCCACUUUUAGAAAUAAAUUAAGCACAAACAAAACUUUUUAAUUCCAGUUUUUGUAGACAGAUUACAGCGAGUAUUCAUUUUUAUUUCCGACUUCAACAGCUGAGUUGGUGUGAACGCUCAAAUGUGGGAAGUCGGAGGUUCCAAGAUGAAAAAUUCCGAGUUUUCAGUUGGCGCGAACGUAGCAUUAUGUCGGAAGUGAAAAGUCGGCGCUGGGAAUGACGUAUUUCGGCCUCUGUGUGUUACCAUUGUGAGAAAUCAGGUAGAUAGAUGUUCUGAAAACUUUAAUUUAAUUAUUGAUAAGACAAGGAAAAAAACUUAACCAAUGGCUUCAGAGAUAUUUAUUCUUGGAAGGACGAAUAUUACUUACAAAGGCCGAAGGAUUAUCCCGUCUUACAUAUACAGCUGUCUGCCGACAAGCAGCUCUGUAAUGCCAUUGAUAAGUUACUGUUCAAUUUUAUUUGGGAAAACAAGAUACAUUAUGCGAAAACGUCUGUUAUGAACACUUAUGAUUCUGGUGGUCUAAACUUUCUUGAUUUUACUACCCUUAAUAAUACCUUUUAAAAUUAAUUGGAUAAAACAGUUUAUACAUAAUCCCACAUCCACUUGGAACUCUAUAGGUACAUUUUCUCUACGAUUGGAGGCCUUGAGUAGUGAUUUAUAAAAUAGAGAAACUUCCCCUAAUCCUGUCCAGUUUCCAUAAACAAAUGCUCUUGGCAUGGUCAUUAAUUUAUAAACACAACUUCUUCCCACAUAGAUGCUUCAUCUGGAAUAAUCAUCACAUUAAAUAGAAAAAUAAAUUCUUAUUUUUUAAAUCCUGGUUCAAUAACAUAAUUCUAGUAACCCAGCUACUCAAUGAUGAUGGAAAUCUGCUACAUUAUUCUGAGUUCCUCCAAACAUUUGGUAUUCAUGUUACCCCAAAAGAGUUUGCCAUUGUAAUGGAUGCCAUUCCUUCUGGUAUCCUAACCCUUCUAAGAGGGUCUGAAAAACCUGUUUGUUUACCAUCUCUGGACCCCAUAUUGACCCCAGUGGGUCAUGUAUGCUUCUCUGUCACAUCCAAGAACAAUAAUUGCAAUAUUUGCGCAUUAUUCCAGGCAGAUAUCACCACUAUCCCCUCUGUGGUUCAGUACUGGACUGGUCUUGUUGGUGACCUGAACUGGAGCAGUGUGUGGAACCUUCCAUACAGAUACUUCCUUACAAACAAAGUAAGGGAGGUGUCUUUCAAACUGAUUCAUAGAUACUAUCCUGCCAAGCAUUAUAUGCUUAAGUUUAAGAGAGACAUUUGUGUGGACUGUUCAUUGUGUGAGACAGACCCGGAAACAAUAAUGCACCGGUUCUGGCAAUGCCCCUUUACCAUCACAUUCUGGACAGAAAUAACCUGGUACAUUACAGCCAAGUUUGACUCUGAUUUUUCUCUGUGUUGGAAAUAUGUACUUUUGGUUUCCAUAACAACAAAAGCAAAAACCAGAAAGUUAUAUAAAUAAUAAAUGUGCUGAUCAUUUUAGGAAAAUACCGUAUUCAUAAAGCAAAGUUUAGUCAUUCAAAACCUUCAUUUAUAGCAUUUGAAAAGGAAACUGAACAGUAUAUCAAAAUCAUCUCUGACUCUAAAAACAAGAAAGCUGCUAAAACUUUUCAUUUGCGCUCAUUAAAUGUUUUUAUUUGAAAACUCCCCCUGGCUCUUGGUUUAUUGUUUGUGUUUGUAUUAAUAACUGUAUUUGUAUUUUGUUGUUUUCAAUAAAGAUAAAAAAAAAAACAAUGACGUGGGCGGGGGAAAAACAUGGAUGAAUCCUGUUCCGUUUGUGGUUCCUUGCGAGUGGUAAUUUGCAAGUUGUAAUAAUGUAAUUUACUACCUCAGCAUGUUUGAUGUGCGAAGUGGGGGGAGAGCAAAAACAUGGACAUAUUCACGAAAGCGUCCCUUUUAAUACAUCAACUAUUAUAAUGCAAAUGUAAAGCAGUACGAGAAAAAAGUACAAGAAGUGUUGCCAGGCAAAACAAACCUCUCCUGGUAGCACUUAUGACGAAUAUGAAGGAAGAUAUCGUGAAAAAAAUAGGUACCCUGUGGGUACAUGUGGCUACUGCUCUAGGUGCAAUUAGUGAUUAAGUGAUCAAUCUCAUUAAAUCAGUCUCAUUAAUUAUUGUCAUUAAAUCAGUCUCAUAUUAUCAUUAAAUCACUCAUGGAAUCAGUCUCAUUGGAUCAGUCUCAUUAAUUAAUACCAUUAAUUUUGGUGCUUAAUAAUAAAUUACCAAACAGCUAAAAUUAUGGUAUAUUCCAAAUUAUUAUGAUCACUUACCAUAUUACAUAACUCAUAUGCACCUUGGAAUUCUUUUGAGAUUUGGGCGACUUCAAAAGUAUUGGAACAACAAAUACAACACAGUUUCAAUAAUAAUUGAAUUUAUUAUAACAAAGAUAAAAAUGAAUAAUAACAGUUGAAAUCUUCAGCAAACAGUGAGAUGUGUGUGAGUGUGUUGUGGUGAAGACAAAAGAUUAGCUUUGUGUGCUAAUUAAGAUGUGUUUGUGUGUGCGAGGCCUGGUGACCACGUGUUUCUUGCUAAGACAAAGGAAUGCUAGCUAGGGUGUGUUUGUGCGUGGGGGAGUUGACCAUGUGUUUCUAAGUAAAACAAAGAAUUAGCUUUGGUUGCUAAGACAAAGGAAUGCUAGCUAAGGUGUGUUUGUGCGUGGGGGAGUUGACCACGUGUUUCUAAGUAAAACAAAGAAUUAGCACGUAUUGCUAAUGACAAAAUAAUAAUUAGCCGUAUGUGGCUAGCUAAGGCCCAAGGAUCCCACCUCAUGGAGUUAAGACAAAAAGUGUGUGUAUGUGAGUGUGGAGGAGGGCCGCCACGUGUUCCCUUGAGACAAUACACUUAGCCCUGGAGGCUAAUGGGACAAAAGAAUUAGCCGUAGGCUAAUUUCACAAGCUUAUAACAGUACUAAAUCCACUGAAAUCUUGAUGCGGUCAAGAUACGUGUAAUAAUGAAAUUAAAGUGUUAGACAGGAAUAGAGAGAGAGCAUGCAAAGCCUAUCUAUUAAACAAUUGAGAGAUUAAAACAAAAUAGAACAAUCAUCAAUUCAACACGCUGUGUGUCUACAGUGUAAACAAUUAAACCGUUCCUGAGUUUAAAUUCACACUACUUCAAUAAAGCAAAUUCCUAAGACUAGCUUUUAUGCCCAAAUGCCAAGUCUUACUUCAGUAUCUCGCCCUUUACGCGAGAUUAUGAGAAGAUGUUCUGAGACUUUUGGAGUUUCACCGUUGUGGAGAACGUGAGUCGAUUCCGUGGAGCGCAGAGAAUUUCUUGGUCCGACGCGUGGUCGCUCUUGAUGAAAAGAAAGUCUCUGAUCAGAAUAAUGUGCACAGCGCUUUAAUUAGAAGGAUCGGGUCACUUCUAACUCUUAAAUUAAACUGCUUGGGCUGCAGUCGUACGUACUUAUAAGGAACAAAUGAAACCGGUUAUAUCUCAGUCUGAGUCCAAAUCGAGCGAUUCUAGAAUCAACCGUGGCCAAAGGUGAAAGAGAAGCGCGAAACUCUGAUUCUUGAGGAAAAGAAAAGACGUCUUUAUCUGGUUUGCUUCGGCAGAGCAAAUCUCUUUGUGUCCAGAUAGCUUGAAGUCCAAGACGGAAAGAGGAAUUAUGGCGUAUUUCCGGGUCCCUUAUGGAGUCGUGGAGGAAGUGACGUAGAUGAUCCCGCCCACGCGUGACGUAGGUCAACGCCAGUGGCGGCUGGUAGUCUUUCAAACAGGGGAGGCUGGUCGGUUACGAUAUUUCCAGAUUUUAAAAGAAAAAACACAUCAAUUUUGCCCAUACUCUUGCCUCUGAUCUGGCUGAUUGUUGGCAGGGUCACAAACUGUGAAAUAACAGGUUCUUUUGGCCCAUCAUAUACAUGAUGGUGGUGUUGGGGGGGGUAUAUUUUAACAUUUUAUAUUUUAAAAUUGUGGCAUGUUUAAAAAUUGACCUCGGCUGUGUUUUUGUUUAAAAAUGUUUUCCAAAUUGUAGCUGUGUUUAAUUUAUAUCCAGAAAAGUAAUAUAAUAUAUUCAGCAUAAACAUUUUAAAUAGAUUCUAUAUUUUUGGUCCAUCCAUGACAUAUUACUAAAGUAGCCUAUUUACUGUUGUUGAUGUGGGUCACUUGCUGUUAGCCAAUUCACUUUCUCGUACCAGGAGAGCUGAAAGGAAUGAGUAUUAUUCCCUACCUUUUUCACCAAGUCAGUUUGAGGCGUUGGUCUACCCUGCUUUUUAAUUUUAAUUUUUUCCUCGAAAGGAAGACUGGCAAAUGGCUUCGCCAAAAUUAAAUCAGCAAUGCUUGGCAUCCAUGCACAGCUUUCUUGCUAGCUGACUAGCCCCCUCAAGUUCAAGUUCAGUCACUCAAAUAAACUAAAUUUCUGGAACUAAGAUAGCAAACUUGACAACACUAUAUUUACACUUUAUUUACAAUGAAAAUAUAUACAAACUAAAAAAGCUGGUAGAAACCGUAUGUAAUGAAUGAAAUCGAAAUGUAAGCCGAUCUCUUACAAUACACCACAGCACUUGCGAAUCCGCAUGGGACUGAACUGAUGUUGCCAGAUACUGCUGACGUUAUCCAGCCCAAAAUAUGUUCAAAACCUGCCAAAAUGCACUUAAAACCACCCAAUCUGGCAACACUGUACCGCUGCCUGUCUAUACUUGAAACGAGCUGUCAAUCAAAGAGACGGGCUGUUGUAGUUUUUAGACGGACUGUACCUACACUGCUUAUAAAUAAAACUGUUUUCUGAUUGAUGUCCAUACAGUAAAUAUAGCAUAUAUAUUUACCCUAUGAGGCAGUAGCCAGAAAAAUGAAGCGUAAUCCAAAAUUGAACAAUUUAAAAAUUACAGAAGUAAAAUAUACCAAGUGUCUGUACUUUAUAUUAUUCUACUCUUACCUCUUACAGUUUUCGAAACUGAAACCUCCAAAUUGAGGCUGACAUACACACGCUGUCACCAUGACCGAAACUCUUAUUUCCCGGAAGUGGCCUGGUGCUAGAGCUCAGUGGAACUCUCUUUCCCUCUGUAAUAAGCAUAAACAUGUCUGAAAGUGAUUUCUUUAGUCCAUUUAUUUUGAAUGGUGAACCAAAUUGUAUACGCUCACCGGCUAUUUUAAUUGGAACACGUGUAUGCGCAUGCACGACCGUUACACUCUUACAUUCUUACAGAAUGAUGAUGUAGUGGCUAGUGUCUGUAUAUGAGGCCGUAGUCACAACAAAAAUGAUUUUGACCUUUUUGAUGACCCUCAAAAUGUUGGCGGUUCUAUUUGAGACCAAUGCCUAUCUAUCCUGAAAGUUUCAUAAAGAUUGGUCCAGACGUUUUCCCGUAAUAUCGUUAACAAAAAAAACACAGAAACCGGACUGAAAACAAUACCUCGCCCCACUUACUCUGUAGUGGGCAAGGUAAAAAUACAUGUUUAAAGUUUGAAGUUCGAAGCUGGGGGGUGGGAAAGAGAUCUAUAUUUCUAACCUCCCCUUUAUUUCCAAGAUCCUUGAAAAAGCUGCCACAUAGCAGUUAUGCUCAUAUCUACAUAGAAAUAACAUCCAUGAAAUGUAUCAAUCAGGAUUUGGACCUCAUCAUAGCACAGAGACAGCACUGGUUAAAGUAGUAAAUGACCUACUGUUGGCAUCUAAUCAGGGCUAUGUCUCCCUGCUUGUAUUGCUUGACCUUAGUGCAGCCUUUGACACUUGAUCAUUCCAUUCUCCUGGAUACACUAGAAAAUAUUGUAGGGCUUAAGGGAACAGCCCUCUCCUGGCUCAGGUCUUAUUUAACUGAUUGCUAUAAGUUUGUUGAUGUAAAUGGUGAUUUUUCUCGACAUACUGAGGUAAAGUUUGGUGUCCCACAAGGUUCUCUGGGUAAUAUUUGUAAUAUUUGUAUUAGCUUCCACUGUUAUACCGUUGAAACACAGCUGAAUGUUUCUGCAAAGCCAGAUGAGCGACUGCAGCGUAAUAAAAUUGAGGAAUGUGUAAAGGAUGUUAGAUACUGGAUGCUUAUUAACUUCCUUAUACUUAGCUAUGACAAGACAGAAGUACUUGUACUAGGACCACAUGUAGCUAGAAGUAGGUUUUCUGAUUACAUAGUAACCUUGGAUGGCCUUUCUGUUUCUUCACGUGCAGCCGUAAAAGACCUCGCUGUGAUCCUUGACUCCAGUUUUUUGUUUGAAACUCAUAUUGAUAACAUUACCCAGACAACUUUCUUUCAUCUCAGAAAUAUUGUUCAGAUAAGAAAUAUAAUGUCACUCCAUGAUGCAGAAAUACUAGUUCAUGCAUUUGUUACCUCUAGGUUGUAUUAUUGUAAUGCCUUACUGUCUGGAUGUUCCAGUAAGUGUAUAAACAAGAUCCAGUUAGUUCAAAAUGCAGCAGCAAGAGCCCUUACUAGAACUAGGAGAUAUGACCACAUCACCCCUAUGUUAUCCACACUGCACUGGCUCCCAAUCAAGUUUUGCACUGAUUAUAAAAUACUACUAUUGACCUUUUUUUUUUCUUCUCCCCAUUGGAUUGCAACCUUGUCAUGGUCAAGAAACCUGUGUGUCUCAGUGACCCCUAGAACUAUGCCAGCAGGAGAUUUAUCUCCUGGUAGGGCCCACCAUGCUGGACAGGCCGAAGGGUAGAGGUGAGACAAAAAGCAAUCCACUGGUCCUCCAGGUUGGGGGUUGGGCACAGGGCUAACAACCCUGUCCCACAAAACAAAUAUGUUACGGAAACAGCAACAGAAGGAAUCAACACUACCAGGCGUGAUGGACUUCCAGGGCUAUGGAUAGAUGCCAGGAUGAUUGCCAAUGGUGCAAGCUGUUUGGAAGCCAGUGGCAGGAAGGUGGAAGUUCUGAAUGCUAAACAUAAGACUAGGAAGACCCAAAACCACCUGGUGUCGGACUGUGGAGGAGAUGCGAACCAUGAAUCUGACCUGGGGAAGUGUCCAAAAGAUGGCCCAAAAUCGCCAGGAGUGGAGAUCCUUCGUUGCUGCCCUAAAUGCCAGGAGGCAUAACGGGCAGUAAUUAUAUGUUGAUCCUGAGACACCAGUUAUGCUGACGACUUCUGCUCUUUAGACCCACCUGAUCUAUCCUGAUGCCCUACAUCUGGCUGGAGUCUCAUCACAUUGCUCCUGUGGAGGAUGGUCCCAUAUGGACAGUAAAAAGUCACACUUAGAAGAUGGCUCUGGACGCUUACAGUUUUGCUAUGAUGGCUGAGGACUACAAUUGACAUGAUAAAUUUAGGAGUGCAGUUGUCACGAAAAGGGGUGGGUUUUCCGAAAGCCUCUUAAGGCCAAGAGUGUCUUUAAUUACCUCCUAAGAUCCAUCGUCAAGCUAACGAGCUUUUCCCAAACAGCAUCGUAGCCCAAGCAAUCCUCCCUGAAUUUACGAGGGACCGGGACUACUCAUUCAAAACAAAGAGUGACUCCUCACAGCCGAAUACAAAGAAUGCGCAUGCGCGUCCGAGGGACUCUCACAGUCAAUGAGGGAAACUAGUGUUGAAUCUGCUGCCGAUGUUCAAUUAUUUUUCUUGUACAUUGCAAGUACAUUGAGUUAAUUAUUAAAUAAAUAUAUGAAAAACAUUA